CUUGAAAUUUGCAACCUGUGAUUUAUGAGGUUCAUAAGAUAGGGGCUGCCUAUCAGCUUUUUUUUAAAUACCCAUCAGUUGACUAAUAUUCUAUGAAAUUACCUAAUAUCUUCACAAACUAGCUAUAUUUUUAGCUUUCAAAGUAUCACAUUGCAGCAGGCUCCAUCAUUUAAAAAUUUUUAAAAAAGAAAAAAAUAACAAAGAAAAUAAAAAGAACCUUACUUUGUGUUUGCUUCAGAUUUGCCAGAUUUGUGGGUUUGUUCACUAUUGCAUGGUCAUCUUUCCAAUAAUUUUAACUUUUAGAGCAGACAUUUCUUCAUCACACAAGUGGCACUGUGCAACUUCCCUGCUCUGGACCAAGCAAUAUCUUUCAUUGCCUGAAGUCUCAAUAGGCAACUUUAAAAAACUGAAAAUACUUUCAUAUUUAACAUAUUUGGCACAAUAGGAUCCAUUUCUCUGCAGGUACACCCAACCAGAAGGGACGGUAAGGGAUGCCACGUGCCCAGGCUUGCCAGCAGAUGACUAGACUCUCUGCCUGGGGCAGAUGGGGACAAGGGAUAGCCCAGCCUCCCGUUCUACAUACAAAAAAUAUGUGCCAGAGUGAAAGAAAAGAAGCCCAGGUUCCAAAAAAGUCCUUUUUUUACCAUUAAAACGCUUCCAGCAUUCGUGGUCUCCCUGAUUUACUGUUCAGUACUCCUGGCUCGCACAUCUUGCUCAAAGCCCAGGCAGCCCCAAGGGCAGUCAGGGGUGUUCCCAGCUGGGAUCCUCCCUGCUUGGGAAGCUACUUCUGCAAACUCCCUCCUACCCAGGAGGGACCAAAGCACAGCCUCCCUAGCAGGAGGCAAGAUGAGUGCUGGAGGGAUUUCUGAGGGACACAGCUCUCGGGGCAGUGCUGAAGGGGGACAUGGGGCACAUGGGAACCGCAGGCCGCCUGCCUCUGAGAUGCAGACCCAAGAAGGAGAGACCUUGCUGACUGGAGCAGUUUCUCUGCUGAGAUGUGCUAUUGGCAUAGAGCUGGCAAAAUGAUACUAAAUUAGAAUAGAAAGCUUAGAAGUUACCUUCAUUUAAAUACAAAAUCAUACAUGUAGUCCACUCAUAGUGGAAGAGCAAAUAAAUAAAAAAUAAAAAUGUAUGUAACA
ensembl:lncRNA